rnacentral:lncRNA from 1 species
AUGCGGCCGGCAGCCAGCUAGCAUAGUACGCGGGAUUUACAGAGGAGGUUUUCGUUGAUUGAGGGAUCGUAUACACAUAAAUCUAUCACAAUUGGUGUGAUGUCUUGUUCGGUCGUCUUGAAUCCGAGAUGCUGUUGCCUGUGCUGGCACUUUGGGUCGAACCCCACCAUGGAUAGUCUGGUCUGGGGUUUGGACUGGGCUGCUUACCGGUACCUGUUGUGUCCGCUCUUGGCGUUCUGCCAAUAAUGACUGAAUUAAUGCAUCUCUUUGACGCAACUCUUCCUCAUAUCGGAGUGCUGCGACUUGAGCAAACGCUGGCGGUGAGUAUGGUGAGUACUGGUAAGGCGAGUACUGUGCCAGGAUGUGCGGAUAUGUGUAAGGCAUGCUGGUUGCAAGAGUGCUCGCAACUAGUGGUGGUGGCAUACAAUUGACUGUUGCAAGAGUGCUCGCAACUAGUGGUGGUAUAUGAUGGGGUGUUGCAAGAGUGCUCGCAACACCGCCAGCAGGUGGUGGUUGAUGUACUGGGGUUAUUAAACCCCCUAAACCCCCAUACCCUGAUGACAUACCGGCCGCAGAACUUGGCCCCAUGUUGGCUGAACUUGAUAUACCUGGUUGUAGAAGGCUCUGAGCCAGAGGCUGGCUACCCAUUGUAGGGCUUCCUAUUUCAGGGCUUCCAGGUGCAGAGAAAUCAAAAUAGUCAGCCAAGGAGGUGACUUUAUGAAUUUUUAAAUUUAGAAAUUCCUCCUUGGUGAUUUCCCCAUUAUUCUCAAUGUGUGCCAUUAUUAAUUUUGCUGUGGAACGGCCGAUGCCAGGCACUGUGACCAAAUCUUGAAUUUCACAAGAGUUAAUGUAAAUGCCUUGUACCACUGGACCAUCUGGACCCACUUCAUGGCAGUAUUAGACUACAUCUUUGUACAGUGAGAUGCCUUGGACCACUGGACCACCUGGACCCACCACAUGGCAGUAUUAAUCUACAUCUUAGUACAGUGAUAUGCCUUGGACCACUGGACCACCUGGACCCACUACAUGUCGGUAUUAAUCUACAUCUUAGUACAGUGAGAUGCCUAGGACCACUGGACCACUUGGACCCUCUACAUGGCAGUAUUAAUCUACAUCUUUGUACAGUGGGAUGCCUUGGACCACUGGACCAUCUGAACCCACUACAUGGCAGUAUUAAUCUAUAUCUUAGUACAGUGAGAUGCCUUGGACCACUGGACCACUUGGACCCACUACAUGGCAGUAUUAAUCUACAUCUUAGUACAGUGAGAUGCCUUGGACCACUGGACCCCCUGAACCCACUACAUGGCAGUAUUAAUCUACAUCUUAGUACAGUGAGAUGCCUUGGACCACUGGACCAUCUAGACCCACUACAUGGCAGUAUUAAUCUACAUCUUUGUACAGUGAGAUGCCUUGGACCACUGGACCAUCUAGACCCACUACAUGGCAGUAUUAAUCUACAUCUUAGUACAGUGAGAUGCCUUGGACCACUGGACCACCUGAACCCACUACAUGGCAGUAUUAAUCUACAUCUUUGUACAGUGGGAUGCCUUGGACCAUCUGGACCCACUACAUGGCAGUAUUAAUCUACAUCUUAGUACAGUGAGAUGCCUUGGACCACUGGACCACCUGGACCCACCACAUGGAUGCAUUGUUAAGAGUAACCCAGUUAACUAUAUGAACUUUGUACCCUGGUGGUUAGCAGUGAGUGAUGUUGUACAACCGAGACAGCACUAUUCCAGCUACAUUAUGGCAUGUGUAAAUAAUCCAGUCUGAUCCAGGGAACAAACAAACCGAACCAUGCAUUUCACUGACAUAAGGAUUUUAUUCAGAUUCUGAUGGAUUCACACAACUAAAAACAAUAUUCAAAUAAAUAUUCAAAUAAAUUCUCACAUGCUUACAUAAACCUACUGCAAAAGCAACCCUGCGGUUGACACGCACCUACAAACACUGAUGCAUGAUGGGAAACCAGGGGAAGUAAUCCUGGACUUGUCACGUGCACCAUGAUGCAAAUAACUCCUAUGUUACUAUGUUCAGCCUCAUGGGUCUGUUCAAUUUUGAUAAACCAAUAUUCAGAAAAACAUUUUGAAGAACAAAUUCCAUCCUUAUGAAAAUAUAGGUCAAUACAAAAUGUAUAUUGAUGCAUGUGACAAACAAAAUUACUUCACACUCGUCAAAAUGUAAGUAUAUUCGAAUUAAUUGAAUUACAUAUGUUUGAUGACAUUAAAAUGGUAUCAACACGACCUUGGCAUACAUAUAGGCGUAAAAUGUGCUUCUAUUUAAAUGCAAAGAGCAAAGAUAAUCCUCAGUUAUAACACAGAACGAGGCAGAUCCAUAAAGACAGGCUUGAUAUUGGCACAAUGCUGUCUCUGUUGAUUAUUUCAGUGCUGAGCAUACAGCAAGCUGAAUUGAUUUUUGUUUGAAAAAGUCAUAAAACAAUUAAAAAAACCAACAAUGAAUAUGUUAACCGCUUUGUCUUCAUUCAACAUGGCAAUUAUGGAGAAAUGGUGAAGGACUCAUUGAAAGAAAGACAACAUUGACAAGAUGAUGAAAUCCUGUAAGUUAAACUGAGUAAUGCGUACAAUGGGUAUAUACUUGACAAAUCAUCCAGGUCGGAUAUCAUAAGCACAACCUCAGCUGAAAAGAACCGUAAUCAUUCAGCCAUCUACAGCUGCAUGCAAACUCCCAAACAAGUUCCACAAAUA